rnacentral:rRNA from 1 species
UAUUGGUCAAUGGACGCGAGUCUGAACCAGCCAAGUAGCGUGAAGGAUGACUGCCCUAUGGGUUGUAAACUUCUUUUAUAUGGGAAUAAAGUUUUCCACGUGUGGAAUUUUGUAUGUACCAUAUGAAUAAUGAUCGGCUAACUCUGUGCCAGCAGCCGCGGUAAUACGGAGUAUCCGAGCGUUAUCCGGAUUUAUUGGGUUUAAAGGGAGCGUAGGUGGACAGUUAAGUCAGUUGUGAAAGUUUGCGGCUCAACCGUAAAAUUGCAGUUGAAACUGGCAGUCUUGAGUACAGUAGAGGUGGGCGGAAUUCGUGGUGUAGCGGUGAAAUGCUUAGAUAUCACGAAGAACUCCGAUUGCGAAGGCAGCUCACUGGACUGUUAACUGACACUGAGGCUCGAAAGCGUGGGGAGCAAACAG